rnacentral:rRNA from 1 species
ACCUAGUCCCACCACACCCCCAAGGGUAUUCAGCAGUGAUAGAUAUUGUCUAUAAGCGCUAGCUUGACCCAGUUAUAGAGAAGAGAGCCGGCCAACUUGGUGCCAGCCGCCGCGGCUAGACCAACUGGACUCAAAUUGAUAAUCCCCGGCGUUAAGCGUGAUUAAAGCCAUGAACAAAUUAGAGUUAAACCUACGUUGAGCAGUGAAAAGCACACGAUAGGGAAAUCCAAAAACGAAAGUUAUUCUAAUCCUUGCUUGAAUACACGACAGCUAGGGCACAAACUGGGAUUAGAUACCCCACUAUGCCUAGCCGUAAACUAUUAACCUACACCCACCCGCGCCAGGGAACUACGAGCUUUAGCUUAAAACCCAAAGGACUUGACGGUGUCCCACCCAACUAGAGGAGCCUGUUCUAUAAUCGAUGACCCCCGCUCCACCCAACCCCCCCUUGCUUUAUCAGCCUGUAUACCUCCGUCGUAAACCCGCCGUAUGAAUGUACCCAAGCGGAUUUAAUGGUCCCACACCAACACGUCAGGUCAAGGUGCAGCCAAUGGGAGAGGUAAGUGAUGGGCUACAAUUUCUAGUCUAGAACAAACGAAAUUCUGCAUGAAACACAGUUAUGAAGGAGGAUUUAGUAGUAAAAAGAAAGUAGCGUGUUCUUUUUAACAUGGCCCUGGGACGUGUACACA